rnacentral:rRNA from 1 species
AGUGAACGCUGGCGGUAGGCCUAACACAUGCAAGUCGAACGGCAGCACAGUAAGAGCUUGCUCUUACGGGUGGCGAGUGGCGGACGGGUGAGGAAUACAUCGGAAUCUACUUUUUCGUGGGGGAUAACGUAGGGAAACUUACGCUAAUACCGCAUACGACCUACGGGUGAAAGCAGGGGAUCUUCGGACCUUGCGCGAUUGAAUGAGCCGAUGUCGGAUUAGCUAGUUGGCGGGGUAAAGGCCCACCAAGGCGACGAUCCGUAGCUGGUCUGAGAGGAUGAUCAGCCACACUGGAACUGAGACACGGUCCAGACUCCUACGGGAGGCAGCGGUGGGGAAUAUUGGACAAUGGGCGCAAGCCUGAUCCAGCUAUACCGCGUGGGUGAAGAAGGCCUUCGGGUUGUAAAGCCCUUUUGUUGGGAAAGAAAAGCAGCAGGUUAAUACCCCGCUGUUCUGACGGUACCCAAAGAAUAAGCACCGGCUAACUUCGU